CCAUACAGCGCGAGACAGUUUGUUUGGGAGAGAGACAGUGGGAGAUGGAAAACAAUGAAAGCAAGCUAUGGAGAUUCAACAAGAAGUAUGAAAAAGGAGAUGGAAAAAUGUCGGAAGACAAUAAAAGAGCAAUGACAGUGAGAGAAGCUUUAAGUAUGCUAAAGGGAAAUGUUAACCCUGAAGAUAAGCGCCCACUCAUUCCUAUGGGCCACGGUGAUCCCUCUCCUUUCCAUUGCUUUCGUACAGCGCCUGCUGCUGAGGAUGCUGUGGUUGCUGCUCUUCGCUCCGCCACCUUCAAUGGCUAUUCCGUCACUCACGGCCUUCCCUCCGCCAGGAAGGCUGUGGCAGAAUACAUUUCAAAGGAUCUUCCUUACAAGUUAUCCCCAGAGGACGUUUACUUGACUGUUGGAUGCAAACAAGCAAUUCAAGCAGCAAUAACUGCUCUUUCUUUACCUGAUUCCAACAUACUAAUGCCAAGGCCUACUUUCGCCAUGUAUGAUGCGGUUGCUGCCUUUACAGGCCUUGAACUCCGCCACUAUGAUCUUCAACCGGAAAACGGAUGGGAAGUUGAUUUCAAGUCAGUUGAAGCUCUAGUAGAUAACAACACAGUGGCUAUCGUUAUUAUAAACCCUGGUAAUCCUUGUGGAAGUGUAUAUACUUACCAACAUUUACAAAAGGUGGCAGAAACUGCAAGAAAGUUUGGAUUGCUUGUUAUUGCUGAUGAAGUAUAUGAGCACAUCACUUUUGGUAGCAAGCCCUUUGUUCGAAUGGCAGUUUUCGCAUCCAUUGUGCCUGUUCUUACACUCGGGUCCUUAUCAAAGAGGUGGGUUGUUCCUGGUUGGCGCCUUGGUUGGCUUGUAACAACUGAUCCAAAUCACAUCUUACAAAAAUCUCAGUAUGUGGAGCGUGUCAAAGCCUUUUUCAGCAUAAAUGCUGAUCCUCCAACGUUCAUUCAGGCAGCAGUUCCUCAAAUAAUUGAGAAGACAGAAGAAGAAUUUUUUUCAAAAUGUAUCAAUGUGCUGCGGCAAGAUGCAGAACUUAUUGUCGAGAAACUGAAGGAGAUUCCUUCGAUUACAUGUCCGAAUGAGCCGGAAGGUUCCAUGUUCGUAAUGAUAUGUAUUGCAGGUGAAGUUAAAUUUGUCUAUGUUGGAUGGAAUACAAGAUGAUGCAGAUUUCUGCAUGGAGCUUGCUAAACAGGAGAGUAUGAUUAUUUUACCUGGUUCUACUGUCGGAAUGAAAAACUGGCUUCGUUUAACAUUUGCCCUUGAGCCAUCAGUUCUUGAACAAGGUCUUGAAAGGCUAAAGUGCUUUUGUCAAAGAAAUGCAAAGGUAGAAUGAGGUCCCCCUUAAGCCUGUAUGAGAUUAAUAAAGAUGUACUACGAAUGAUGAUUGACAACUUCAAUGUUGUAAUUCACCCUUUUGUCAAUGUCUUGGAACCAAUUUGUCACCUUUCAAGUGUUGUACUGAAUUACCAAUACGCUUUAUUUUACAUCAAGAGUAAAUAGUUUCUUGUGUCCUUUUUUUCUCUA